AAAAGAUGACGGUGGAUUCCACGACCAUUGAAAAACCGAAUACACGACGGUGAUUUACCGUCGUCUUUUUGCUUUUUUGUAGUAGUGUGAAUACAUUCUUUAAAUGCACUUUCGGAACCCCAAACAACCUCAGAAGUCCAAAAUCCACCAUAUGUCACAGCAUUGCUGUGGGUUGGAGGCAUGGAGUCGUUCCCUUUUCGAGAAGGUAUUAUGCGACCCAAUCUGUAAAUUCCCGAUGUGUUCAUUCUUCAAUCUAUUCAGCCACUUGUUCUAAAUAACAUAUAUAUAUAUAUGUUUUGACUUGAAAGUUUGUAGGUUUUGGAUAGGGAUAUGAAUUCUUCUUCUUCUUCUCCUCUUCCUUU
rnacentral:lncRNA from 1 species